rnacentral:lncRNA from 1 species
GACUGAAACUGAAGCUAAGAGAGGUUAAGUGACCUGCUCCUGGUAAAACUGUCCCAAGCGUUCCAGCUGGGCGUGGCUCCCAGACGUGUGUGACUUCAGUCACAGGAGGCCUGCAGGAAAAGGCUUUCCUAUCUCUCCACUGACAGUGAUCAGCAGCCAGCUCUCAGGACAAGGAGUGUCAAUCAGAUGGGAAUGCUACUUCAGUG